UACGUAGGGGGCAAGCGUUGUCCGGAUUUAUUGGGCGUAAAGAGCUCGUAGGUGGUUUGGUAAGUCGGAUGUGAAAUCUCCAGGCUCAACCUGGAGGGUCAUUCGAUACUGCCAUACUAGAGGUCGGUAGGGGAGUGGUGGAAUUCCUGGUGGAGCGGUGAAAUGCGGCAGAUAUCAGGAGGAACACCCGUAGCGAAGGCGGCACCUCUGGGCCGAAGUUCUGACACUGAGGGCACGAAAGCGUGGGGAGAAGCAGGAAUUAGAAACCC
rnacentral:rRNA from 1 species